AGUUGGGCUUUGCAGAUAGCGAAUGACCGGAGUGCAGUGUUUGCACUGACACAGUUUCUGAGAAACGAUUGCGAAAUUUGUGCUGUUAGUGAUUCAUGUAACAUUCUGAUCGUGGAACCUGGAAAUUCGCAUUAGCUGGAUAUUACAUUUCGGUGAUGGAGCUGUGGGGUCUCUACAGUCCAAUAAGAAAGUAAGAAGAGGACAUCUUGAGACUGUUUCUGACUGAUGGUAGCACAGUUAAGACUUGAAAGUGCUUAGUGAGAUGAAAUAAGCAGCCAGCAAAAGCUUUAUAUUGGUGAAACAAUCUACUCUCUUCUCUUAUCAUUACUAUUGCUGCUAUUAGAAUAUUAAACAGAGUAAUAAUUCAUAUACCAGUAAAAUUCCUGUAGCAGAACCAGAUUAUCCCCGUAAUUAUUACAAUGUUCUAUUCAGUUCUACUUUGCCUGAAGUAGACUAGGAUAAGAGGACGAUUUUCUAUGUUUUCUUGUCAUGGAGACCUUGUCUUUCUGUUUUCAAAUCGUCUGAAAAUAAAAGCAUAAAACCUUC